UGCAGUCGAGCGGUAAGGCCUUUCGGGGUACACGAGCGGCGAACGGGUGAGUAACACGUGGGUGAUCUGCCCUGCACUUCGGGAUAAGCCUGGGAAACUGGGUCUAAUACCGGAUAUGACCUCCUAUCGCAUGACGGGUGGUGGAAAGAUUUAUCGGUGCAGGAUGGGCCCGCGGCCUAUCAGCUUGUUGGUGGGGUAAUGGCCUACCAAGGCGACGACGGGUAGCCGACCUGAGAGGGUGACCGGCCACACUGGGACUGAGACACGGCCCAGACUCCUACGGGAGGCAGCAGUGGGGAAUAUUGCACAAUGGGCGAAAGCCUGAUGCAGCGACGCCGCGUGAGGGAUGACGGCCUUCGGGUUGUAAACCUCUUUCAGCAGGGACGAAGCGCAAGUGACGGUACCUGCAGAAGAAGCACCGGCUAACUACGUGCCAGCAGCCGCGGUAAUACGUAGGGUGCAAGCGUUGUCCGGAAUUACUGGGCGUAAAGAGUUCGUAGGCGGUUUGUCGCGUCGUUUGUGAAAACCAGCAGCUCAACUGCUGGCUUGCAGGCGAUACGGGCAGACUUGAGUACUGCAGGGGAGACUGGAAUUCCUGGUGUAGCGGUGAAAUGCGCAGAUAUCAGGAGGAACACCGGUGGCGAAGGCGGGUCUCUGGGCAGUAACUGACGCUGAGGAACGAAAGCGUGGGUAGCGAACAGGAUUAGAUACCCUGGUAGUCCACGCCGUAAACGGUGGGCGCUAGGUGUGGGUUCCUUCCACGGAAUCCGUGCCGUAGCUAACGCAUUAAGCGCCCCGCCUGGGGAGUACGGGCCGCAAGGCUAAAACUCAAAAGGAA
rnacentral:rRNA from 1 species